CUCCUACGGGAGGCAGCAGUAGGGAAUAUUGCUCAAUGGGGGAAACCCUGAAGCAGCAACGCCGCGUGAGUGAUGAAGGCCUUCGGGUCGUAAAGCUCUGUUGUACGGGAAGAACGCGGAUAUAGCUAACAUCUAUAUCCGGUGACGGUACCGUAUAAGAAAGGGCCGGCUAACUUCGUGCCAGCCGCCGCGGUAAUUC
rnacentral:rRNA from 1 species